UUCUGGAUAGCUCAGUUGGUUAGGGUGUGGUGCUAAUAAUGCCAAGGUUGCAGCUUCAAUCCCCAUAUGGGGAG
rnacentral:tRNA from 1 species